GCCUGCAUAGCUCAGCGGGUGGAGCAGGCGCCUUCUAAGCGCUUGGCCGCAGGUUCGAGUCCUGCCGGGGCGCCCCA
rnacentral:tRNA from 1 species